rnacentral:rRNA from 1 species
UACGGUGGGGGCAAGCGUUGUUCGGAAUUACUGGGCGUAAAGGGCUCGUAGGCGGCCAACUAAGUCAGACGUGAAAUCCCUCGGCUUAACCGGGGAACUGCGUCUGAUACUGGAUGGCUCGAGUUUGGGAGAGGGAUGCGGAAUUCCAGGUGUAGCGGUGAAAUGUGUAGAUAUCUGGAGGAACACCGGUGGCGAAGGCGGCAUCCUGGACCAACACUGACGCUGAUGAGCGAAAGCCAGGGGAGCAAACGGG